rnacentral:rRNA from 1 species
AGCGAACGCUGGCGGCGUGCUUAACACAUGCAAGUCGAGCGAAGGUGUUUCAAGGGUAACCUUGAGAUACACUUAGCGGCGGACGGGUGAGUAAUACGUGGAUAACUUACCUCUAGGCCUGGGAUAACCCCGGGAAACUGGGGCUAAUACCUGAUAAGACCACAUUGUCUACGGACAAAGGGGUAAAAGGUGGCUGUGCAAACAGCUAUCGCCAAAAGAUAGGUUCACGUCCCAUCAGGCAGUUGGUGAGGUAAUGGCUCACCAAACCAAAGACGGGUAGCCGGCCUUGGCGGGUGAACGGCCACACGGGGACUGAGACACGGCCCCGACUCCUACGGGAGGCAGCAGUGGGGAAUAUUGGGCAAUGGGCGCAAGCCUGACCCAGCGACGUCGCGUUGGGGAAGAA